GGUGCAGUUCAGCUCUUUGGGCAGUUCUGCGGAAAGUCUGACGUUUGUUCAGUUCCGUGGUUUCCGUUCUGACAGUGAUGACCGAGACUCCGCCCCUCCGUGAGGUCCCACCUGUGUGAGAAAACCUCGAGGUACUGAACACACCUGAAGAAGUGUGGAUCAGGUGUUACCGCAGCGUGAAAUGAGUUGCUGUGAAACGAGUCGGCAGUGAUUAUCGGAAACACGUGGCUGAUUUUUCAUCUACGCUCGCAGCCCCGCGGCAAGGAACCGACAGGAGUGACGGAGAAGGAGAAACCUGACAGCAUUUCCUGUUUCAUGAAGCAGGUUAACACACUGAUGUCGCCUCAGAGCCUCAGGCCGCCGCGUGAAGAAGGACGACGCGUCACUCAGGCGACCGGCUGCUUAAAAAUGGAUGAAGUGUUGCGAGUGUGAAGGGUUCAUUACUGCUCUGAGAAGACGUGUGAGGUGUGAACGGCCCCUCGAGUCAAUCAGGCACAAAUGAUAACGAAGUGAAGUGAGUGUGACUGAGACUGAGGUCUGCAGUGGGCAGCCGUCUGUUUCAGUACAAAAGACUUGGAGAGAAAUUCACCUCCACCCAGAUGUGAGCCCAAGUCCCGAGUCAAGACUGACAAGUCACAAGUCCUACACUUUGAGUCCUAAACUGUCAGAACAUCGUCUUCACUAAAUGUACAAACAGAAACUUUUAAAUGACCUUCAAGUCAGUGAUUAUCAUAACGCUGUGUUGUCUCUGGUGGGAAACCAGGAUGUAAGACGAGUGCCGCGCAGGUGACAUCACAUGGUGAAAAUGAUGAUUUUCUGAUUGGUUAGGAGAGGACAUGCAGAGGACGUACCGGUUUGAGACGCAGCUGUCCGUUCAGGUUGUCCAGCAGCCCGUGAUGUCUGGACACUCUCUUGUCACUGACCUGAGAAGAUGACAUGGAAAACAGAACAAACACAGGAUGAAGAAUCUGUGGGUGACGUUCUUCAAAGGAACCUCCUCAUCCCCACGCUGAGGCAAAGUCAGCUGAAGGUUCUCAGUCCACAGCAGCUUCACAGCAGCUUCCUGCUGAGCAACUGUGAAGACUUUGGCUUGAAAAGAGGACAAAACAUCUUCUCAGAUCAAUGUCAGAUCAAAUCAUGACCAGCUGUAUGGAGCGAGUUUUUGGUUUUUUCUGUUGUUUUUACUUUUCACAACGAGCUCCCGUUUGUUCAGCUCCAGCAGGAUGUUUUACUGUGAAGCUCCAGUGGACGAAGAAACUUCAUGAGCACUCAGGCUCGUUCUGCACAAGCAGAGACUCAGACGGCCAAAGAAAAGCACUAAAAACUGAUGGAAACUCGUGGUCCAGUCAUGUGACGGCGCCCCCCAGUGGUUCAGUGGACAACCUGCCGCUCAGCUGAGACGCUGACAGAUGCUCCAUAUGAUCCAAUCUGGCAAACGUGUUACCAGAAGUCUACCAAAGCCCUCAGCGACACACAUCUACACACUGGGUCAGCGUGCACACAGGGCCGCGAAUUAGGGGUGAAUGAGGGUCCCAAAUACCUGAAGCCCACCACAAGUAUCAUUUGGUGGAGGACAGGAACUGCCAAAAUCAGAAAAAAAUGAAAGUCUCGAUACAUAAAUUAAUAUACCAUUGAAUGCACCAAAAGUAACAUUAGAAAUACUUGAAGGCAUUCUAAUUUAUAAAA